CAGAGGCAGAGGCAGAAGCAGAGGCAGAGCAGAGCAGGAGUAGAGAGAAAAGAAAGAAGAAGAGGAGAGAAAGGGCGGGAAGCAACGAUGCCGGGCCUGGGAAGACACUUACUAAAGAGAAUCUCAUUCAAACAGCGUAGUGGAUGCUGCGGAUAUUCUACCAGGAAGUUGGUCGAUGUGGGGCAGCCAACUGCUGCAUCUCACCCUCAGUUGGUAAAGGAAGGGGAGAUUACACCUGGCAUCACAGGUGAUGAGUACAUCUCAAGAAGGAAACAAUUGCUGGAGCUUCUUCCAGAGAAGAGUUUAGCCAUCAUUGCAGCUGCUCCUGUUAAAAUGAUGACUGAUGUUGUGCCUUAUUCAUUCAGACAGGAUGCCGAUUAUUUGUAUAUCACUGGUUGCCAGCAACCUGGUGGUGUAGCUGUCUUAGAUCAGGAAGUUGGAUUAUGCAUGUUUAUGCCAGAUUCAGAUCCUCAAGAUGUCAUUUGGCAAGGACAAAUUGCUGGAGUUGAUGCUGCUUUGAGCACAUUCAAGGCUGAGCAGGCAUUCCCAAUAAGUGAAAUGCAUAAGAUUCUUCCAACAAUGAUCAACAGAUCGUCCAAAUUGUUCCAUAAUGUGAAAACAGCUUCGCCAGCAUAUAUGGACUUGGAGGCCUUGCACAGUGCAGCUUUAAGUGGAAAAGUGAAAGAUCUUUCUGGUUAUACCCAUGACUUGAGGUGGAUGAAAUCACCAUCAGAAAUUAGGCUGAUGAGAGAAUCUGCUUCAAUAGCUUGCCAGGCUCUAUUACAGACUAUGAUCCAAUCAAAAACAUUAGCUGAUGAGGGCAUGCUUUCAGCUAAGGUUGAAUAUGAAUGCAGGAUGAGAGGUGCUCAAAGAAUGGCGUUCAAUCCAGUCGUUGGUGGUGGACUGAAUGGUAGUGUUAUACACUAUUCUCGAAAUGAUCAGAAAAUCAAAGAUGGUGACCUUGUUCUAAUGGAUGUUGGCUGUGAGUUGCAUGGUUAUGUCAGUGAUAUGACUCGUAGCUGGCCACCCUGUGGCAGUUUUUCAUCAGCUCAAGAAGAGCUAUAUGAUCUAAUUCUGGAGGUGAACAAGGAAUGUGUGAAGCUUUGCCAACCUGGUACGAGCAUUCGGCAGAUACAUAACCAUUCGGUUGAAAUGCUGCAAAGAGGACUUAAAGAAAUGGGAAUCUUGAAAGAUGGGCGAAGGGCCUCUCAAACUUACCAUCAGCUGAACCCAACUUCUAUAGGUCAUUAUUUAGGAAUGGAUGUUCAUGACUGUUCCAUGGUUAGCUAUGACCGUCCUUUGAAGCCAGGUGUUGUGAUAACGAUUGAACCAGGAGUUUAUAUCCCAUAUUCUUUUGAUGGUCCAGAGAGGUACCAAGGCAUUGGCAUAAGGAUAGAAGAUGAAGUCCUUGUUACUGAAACUGGGCAUGAGGUUCUUACAGGGUCAAUGCCCAAAGAGAUUCAACACAUUAAGUCCUUGCUAAAUGAUUAUUGCUGCAACAGAGGGAUUGAAGCCCAUAAUCAUAUAACAGCCGCAUCCAGUUGAAGAUCACAUGGUACUUCACAGUGGCAGGCCAGAUUAUUUUCGUUUUGCCUUUUUCCUUUUUAAGUUUCUCUUUGGUUUCAAAUCUAACAGAAAAGUAUGAUUUUACCAGGUUCUACAGACAUCUAUGCACUGAGUUGGAUACGGGAACUGCGGAUGUGCAGCAGAAACAGAAUUGAAAUUGAAAGGUGUUCAGGCGGGUCUUGGUCUGGCAGAACACCUUCGUUUCAAGAAA